rnacentral:rRNA from 1 species
AUUGAAAGCUGGCGGCAGGCCUAACACAUGCAAGUCGAGCGAGAGGAGGACGGGUGAGUAAUGUCUGGGAAACUGCCCGAUGGAGGGGGAUAACAACUGGAAACGGUAGCUAAUACCGAACACCAUCAGAUGUGCCCCGAUGGGAUGAGCUAGUGGGUGGGGUAACGGCUCACCUAGGCGACGAGCCCUAGCUGGUCUGAGAGGAUGACCAGCCACACUGGAACUGAGACACGGUCCAGACUCCUACGGGAGGCAGCAGUGGGGAAUAUUGCACAAUGGGCGCAAGCCUGAUGCAGCCAUGCCGCGUGUGUGAAGAAGGCCUUCGGGUUGUAAAGCACUUUCAGCGGGGAGGCGUUACCCGCAGAAGAAGCACCGGCUAACUCCGUGCCAGCAGCCGCGGUAAUUC